AUCGAACGCUGGCGGCAGGCCUAACACAUGCAAGUCGAGCGAGCGGCGGACGGGCGAGUAAUGUAUGGGGACUGCCCGAUAGAGGGGGAUAACUACUGGAAACGGUGGCUAAAACCGCUUACUAUCGGAUAACCCAUAUGGGAUUAGCUAGUAGGGGGGGUAAAGGCUCAUCUAGGCGACGAUCUCUAGCUGGUCUGAGAGGAUGAUCGGCCACACUGGGACUGAGACACGGCCCAGACUCCUACGGAGGCAGCAGUGGGGAAUCUUGGACAAUGGGCGCAAGCCUGAUGCAGCCAGGCCGCGUGGAUGAAUAAGGCCUUAGGGUUGUAAAGUACUUUCGGCGGGGAGGCGUUACCCGCAGAAGAAGCACCGGCUAACUACGUGCCAGCAGCCGCGGUAAUAC
rnacentral:rRNA from 1 species